GUCGAACGAGCGAGAGAGAGCUUGCUGUCUCGAGCGAGUGGCGAACGGGUGAGUAACGCGUGAGGAACCUGCCUCAAAGAGGGGGACAACAGUUGGAAACGACUGCUAAUACCGCAUAAGCCCACGGUGCCGCAUGGCACAGAGGGAAAAGGAGCAAUCCGCUUUGAGAUGGCCUCGCGUCCGAUUAGCUAGUUGGUGAGGUAACGGCCCACCAAGGCGACGAUCGGUAGCCGGACUGAGAGGUUGAACGGCCACAUUGGGACUGAGACACGGCCCAGACUCCUACGGGAGGCAGCAGUGGGGAAUAUUGCACAAUGGGGGGAACCCUGAUGCAGCGACGCCGCGUGGAGGAAGAAGGUCUUCGGAUUGUAAACUCCUGUUGUUGGGGAAGAUAAUGACGGUACCCAACAAGGAAAUGACGGCUAACUACGCGCCAGCAGCCGCGGUAAAACGUAGGUCACAAGCGUUGUCCGGAAUUACUGGGUGUAAAGGGAGCGCAGGCGGGAAGACAAGUUGGAAGUGAAAUCUAUGGGCUCAACCCAUAAACUGCUUUCAAAACUGUUUUUCUUGAGUGGUGCAGAGGUAGGCGGAAUUCCCGGUGUAGCGGUGGAAUGCGUAGAUAUCGGGAGGAACACCAGUGGCGAAGGCGGCCUACUGGGCACCAACUGACGCUGAGGCUCGAAAGUGUGGGUAGCAAACAGGAUUAGAUACCCUGGUAGUCCACACCGUAAACGAUGAUUACUAGGUGUUGGAGGAUUGACCCCUUCAGUGCCGCAGUUAACACAAUAAGUAAUCCACCUGGGGAGUACGACCGCAAGGUUGAAACUCAAAGGAAUUGACGGGGGCCCGCACAAGCAGUGGAGUAUGUGGUUUAAUUCGAUGAUACGCGAGGAACCUUACCCGGGCUUGAAUUGCAGAGGAAGGAUUUGGAGACAAUGACGCCCUUCGGGGUCUCUGUGAAGGUGCUGCAUGGUUGUCGUCAGCUCGUGCCGUGAGGUGUCGGCUUAAGUGCCAUAACGAGCGCAGCCCCUCUCCUUAGUUGCCAUCUGGUUAAGCUGGGCACUCUGGGGACACUGCCACCGUAAGGUGUGAGGAAGGUGGGGAUGACGUCAAAUCAGCACGGCCCUUACGUCCGGGGCUACACACGUGUUACAAUGGCAGGUACAGAGAGACGGUCCCUUGCAAAACGGAUCAAAUCCUUAAAGCCUGUCUCAGUUCGGACUGGGGUCUGCAACCCGACCCCACGAAGCUGGAUUCGCUAGUAAUCGCGCAUCAGCCAUGGCGCGGUGAAUACGUUCCCGGGCCUUGUACACACCGCCCGUCAAGCCAUGAAAGCCGGGGGCGCCUAAAGUCCGUGACCGUAAGGAGCGGCCUAGGGCGAAACUGGUAAUUGGGGCUAAGUCGUAACAAGGUA
rnacentral:rRNA from 1 species